rnacentral:rRNA from 1 species
GACGAACGCUGGCGGCGUGCUUAACACAUGCAAGUCGAACGGAAAGGCCCUGCUUUUGUGGGGUGCUCGAGUGGCGAACGGGUGAGUAACACGGGAGUAACCUGCCCUUGACUUGGGGAUAACUUCAGGAAACUGGGGCUAAUACCGGAUAGGAGCUCCUGCUGCAUGGUGGGGGUUGGAAAGUUUCGGCGGUUGGGGAUGGACUCGCGGCUUAUCAGCUUGUUGGUGGGGUAGUGGCUUACCAAGGCUUUGACGGGUAGCCGGCCUGAGAGGGUGACCGGCCACAUUGGGACUGAGAUACGGCCCAGACUCCUACGGGAGGCAGCAGUGGGGAAUAUUGCACAAUGGGCGGAAGCCUGAUGCAGCAACGCCGCGUGCGGGAUGACGGCCUUCGGGUUGUAAACCGCUUUCGCCUGUGACGAAGCGUGAGUGACGGUAAUGGGUAAAGAAGCACCGGCUAACUACGUG